rnacentral:rRNA from 1 species
AGUGAACGCUGGCGGUAGGCCUAACACAUGCAAGUCGAACGGCAGCACAGUAAGAGCUUGCUCUUACGGGUGGCGAGUGGCGGACGGGUGAGGAAUACAUCGGAAUCUACUUUUUCGUGGGGGAUAACGUAGGGAAACUUACGCUAAUACCGCAUACGACCUACGGGUGAAAGCAGGGGAUCUUCGGACCUUGCGCGAAUGAAUGAGCCGAUGUCGGAUUAGCCAGUUGGCGGGGUAAAGGCCCACCAAGGCGACGAUCCGUAGCUGGUCUGAGAGGAUGAUCAGCCACACUGGAACUGAGACACGGUCCAGACUCCUACGGGAGGCAGCAGUGGGGAAUAUUGGACAAUGGGCGCAAGCCUGAUCCAGCCAUACCGCGUGGGUGAAGAAGGCCUUCGGGUUGUAAAGCCCUUUUGUUGGGAAAGAAAAGCAGCAGGUUAAUACCCCGCUGUUCUGACGGUACCCAAAGAAUAAGCACCGGCUAACUUCGUG